rnacentral:rRNA from 1 species
CGUGUAGGCGGGAAGGAAAGUCAGAUGUGAAAUCCCUGGGCUCAACCCAGGAACUGCAUUUGAAACUCCCUUUCUUGAGUGUCGGAGAGGAAAGCGGAAUUCCUGGUGUAGAGGUGAAAUUCGUAGAUAUCAGGAGGAACACCGGUGGCGAAGGCGGCUUUCUGGACGACAACUGACGCUGAGACGCGAAAGCGUGGGGAAGCAAACA